rnacentral:lncRNA from 1 species
GUGCAACUGUUCAGAGCUUGUAAAGUCUGUUUGUAAUUUACAUUGUCUAUGAAGUGUUUUUCGGAGAUGUUUGCUUGUGGAUCCCGAUUGAGGCGUUCUCUCUAACCCGUUCUCUCUUUUGUUGGUCCUAAGAGACAAUGGGAGGCUUCGGGGAGGCUGACCUUUGCGGACGGACACGCAAGGGUGCCGCACGACUUAGGCAAAACCA